rnacentral:rRNA from 1 species
GAUGAACGCUGGCGGCGUGCCUAAUACAUGCAAGUCGAGCGAACGGACGCGAAGCUUGCUUCUCUGAUGUUAGCGGCGGACGGGUGAGUAACACGUGGAUAACCUACCUAUCAGACUGGGAAAACUUCGGGAAACCGGAGCUAAUACCGGAUAAUAUUUUGAACCGCAUGGUUCAAAAGUGAAAGACGGUCUUGCUGUAACUUAUAGAUGGAUCCGCGCUGCAUUAGCUAGUUGGUAAGGUCAAGGCUUACCAAGGCAACGAUGCAUAGCCGACCUGAGAGGGGGAUCGGCCACACUGGAACGUAGACACGGUCCAUACUCCUACGGGAGGCAGCAGUAGGGAAUCUGCCGCAGUGGUCGAAAGCCUGACGGAGCAACGCCGCGUGAGUGAUGAAGGUCUUCGGAUCGUAAAACUCUGUUAUGAGGUAAGAACAUAUGUGUAAGUAACUGUGCACAGCGUGACGGUACCUAAUCAGAAAGCCACGGCUAACUACGUG